GUCGGGGCGCGCCGGGGGGAGGGUGGAGGCGGAGGGACUGAGCCGAAGGGCCCGUACGGGCGGGUGCGGGGCCUCGGCCCAGCCUCUCCGCCGCCUUUGCCGCGGGCCCGGUUCAUUGUCCUUAUUCCCCUCAUCGAUGCCUUUUCCCCUCGUUCUCCCUCGCUCUCCUCCAGGCUCACGGGAAGGUCCGGAAGUGCCGCCCCCGGGAGCCGUCGGCGCCAGUCCUGUUCUCAAGCUGUCCUUGCUACAAAGGGAACUCUGAGUCAUACAUCUGUCUGGUGAGAAGUGACACCUGUGGAACAUGACUGGUAAUUCAACAGAAGUUUAAUGACUGUAGUUGCUAUGAGACUGCUACAGCUUGCUUACUUAAGACCCAGGCAAUUGGUAAAAUUUGGAAAUUAGGAAACCUUCUUUUAAAAAUAACUUCCUUCUGUGACUAGGGGGAGCAAGGGGAAGGCUUUUUCUAUGGUGAGUGUUAAAAAUGCUGUCUGCAGCUAGCCUGACUUGUCUUGACUGAAGCAGCAAUCCUGCCCCAGCUCUGAAGAUGCCUGCACUGUGGGAUGAGGUAGUAGGUUGUAUAGUUUUAGGGUCAUACCCACCACUGGGAGAUAACUAUACAAUCUACUGUCUUUCCUAAAGCAGCAGAUAAUCAACAAUGGAAGCUUCUCAGUUUUAAGCUCAAUGUCAGAUUUUGCUGAACUUCUGUAUUUGCAGUGCUUAUAACAGGACAAAAUACUUGUGUAAUAGCUAUGGGAAUUGUAUUUAGAUUUUUCUAGUUCUUGGAAAACCUAGGUUUCAUUCUGCAUUAGUUUUUCUGUCCUAAUGACUAAAAAGUUAAGAAUAGAUUAUUCCUGUAUGUGUAUGGUGGGGCAAUCAAAUACAAAUUCCAGUUGUUGGGUUGUUGGAUCAACCAUCCUUCAGAAUGAAACGGAGGUUGGCUACUGAGCUCUUGCUUCUCUGUCAGAGUGAGGUAGUAGAUUGUAUAGUUGUAGGGUAGUUAUUUUACCCUGUUCAGGAGAUAACUAUACAAUCUAUUGCCUUCCCUGAGGAGUAAAACAAACUGCACUCCCUUGCAGCCAGUCCUGGGCUAAAAACAUUCAUUGAGCAAAACGAGAUGAAUUCAGGCUUGGAAAGCAGCAGUGCCAGAAUGCACAGGACUGACAGUGUGAAUGGUGCAACCCCCACAGGAUAUCCUUGACUUAACAUAACUUUUCUCUCAAGGUGAGUGGCACAGUGCUGGCUGGGAAUGGAAAAUGCCCAUGCUUAGGUAGAGGGUAGAACACUCCACAGAGGAAAGUUACUCUUAGGCCAAUUAGGAGAACGUAAAAUACAGGGAGCUCAAGCUUGUGCAUUGUGAUUUAAACUCUUCUGGCACCCCAAUUUCCAUAAUGCAUUCAAACUCUGUGACUCCCAACUGCUUGGUAGAAGUUGGAGGGAAGACUUAAAAUGACCCUUUAUUAAUAAGUCUACAUGUUUUUCUGCAGCUUUUCCAGAUCCAAUGCAAAAUUUAAGUGUUGGCCAGUUUUGGCCAAAACUGACCUCUCACCUUUCUCGGGGCGGUGUGAAGCUAUGGAGUUUGAGCAUCCAAGAGCUAGAACUUUUCUCUGAGGUGGUAUUGUUUCUGUAAAAAGACUUCUGAAGUUUAUUGCAUUCUCUUUCAUCCUGCUGUGCUUGGUGUACCCAGUCUGUAACUGGUUCUGUGCUAGCAUGCCCAGCAAGCAGCUUGCUGUAGUAACAAAAAAACCCCACGUAAAUAAAUGCUUUUUGGAACGGGAAGCUCA
rnacentral:lncRNA from 1 species